rnacentral:rRNA from 1 species
AGAGUUUGAUCCUGGCUCAGGACGAACGCUGGCGGCGUGCUUAACACAUGCAAGUCGAACGGUGAAGGGGCUGGUUUUGCUGGUCCUGGAUGAGUGGCGAACGGGUGAGUAACACGUGAGUAACCUGCCCCCUUCUUCUGGAUAACCGCAUGAAAGUGUGGCUAAUACGGGAUAUUCUGGGUCUGUCGCAUGGUGGGCCUGGGAAAGGUUUUUUCCGGUGGGGGAUGGGCUCGCGGCCUAUCAGCCUGUUGGUGGGGUGAUGGCCUACCAAGGCGGUGACGGGUAGCCGGCCUGAGAGGGUGGACGGUCACACUGGGACUGAGACACGGCCCAGACUCCUACGGGAGGCAGCAGUGGGGAAUAUUGCACAAUGGGCGCAAGCCUGAUGCAGCGACGCCGCGUGAGGGAUGGAGGCCUUCGGGUUGUGAACCUCUUUCGCCAGUGAAGCAGGCCUGCUCCUUUUUUGUGGGUGGGUUGACGGUAGCUGGAUAAGAAGCGCCGGCUAACUACGUGCCAGCAGCCGCGGUAAUACGUAGGGCGCGAGCGUUGUCCGGAAUUAUUGGGCGUAAAGAGCUCGUAGGCGGCUGGUCGCGUCUGUCGUGAAAUCCUCUGGCUUAACUGGGGGCUUGCGGUGGGUACGGGCCGGCUUGAGUGCGGUAGGGGAGGCUGGAACUCCUGGUGUAGCGGUGGAAUGCGCAGAUAUCAGGAAGAACACCGGUGGCGAAGGCGGGUCUCUGGGCCGUUACUGACGCUGAGGAGCGAAAGCGUGGGGAGCGAACAGGAUUAGAUACCCUGGUAGUCCACGCCGUAAACGUUGGGCACUAGGUGUGGGGGGCCUUUUCCGGGUUUUCCGCGCCGUAGCUAACGCAUUAAGUGCCCCGCCUGGGGAGUACGGCCGCAAGGCUAAAACUCAAAGGAAUUGACGGGGGCCCGCACAAGCGGCGGAGCAUGCGGAUUAAUUCGAUGCAACGCGAAGAACCUUACCAAGGCUUGACAUGUGCCGGUCUGCUCCGGAGACGGGGUUUCCUCCCUUGUGGGGGCUGGUUCACAGGUGGUGCAUGGUUGUCGUCAGCUCGUGUCGUGAGAUGUUGGGUUAAGUCCCGCAACGAGCGCAACCCUUGUCUCGUGUUGCCAGCACGUUGUGGUGGGGACUCGCGGGAGACUGCCGGGGUCAACUCGGAGGAAGGUGGGGAUGACGUCAAAUCAUCAUGCCCCUUAUGUCUUGGGCUUCACGCAUGCUACAAUGGCCGGUACAGAGGGCUGCGAUACCGUGAGGUGGAGCGAAUCCCUUAAAGCCAGUCUCAGUUCGGAUCGGUGUCUGCAACUCGACACCGUGAAGUUGGAGUCGCUAGUAAUCGCAGAUCAGCAACGCUGCGGUGAAUACGUUCUCGGGCCUUGUACACACCGCCCGUCA